rnacentral:rRNA from 1 species
CCUACGGGAGGCAGCAGUAGGGAAUAUUCCACAAUGGCCGAAAGUCUGAUGGAGCAACGCCGCGUGAGUGAAGAAGGGCUUCGGCUCGUAAAGCCCUGUUGGUAGGGAAGAAAGAUUGAGGUAGGAACUGGCUUUUAUUUGACGGUAAUUAAUUAGAAAGUCACGGCUAACUACGUGCCAGCAACCGCGGUAAUACGUAGGUGGCAAGCGUUGUCCGGAUUUAUUGGGCGUAAAGCGAGUGCAGGCGGUUCAAUAAGUCUGAUGUGAAAGCCGUCGGCUCAACCGGUGAAUUGCAUCAGAAACUGUGGAACUUGAGUGCAGAAGAGGAAGGUGGAACUCCAGGUGUAGCGGUGAAAUGCGUAGAUAUAUGGAAGAACACCAGUGGCGAAGGCGGCUCUCUGGUCUGCAACUGACGCUGAGGCACGAAAGCGUGGGUAGCGAACAGGAUUAGAUACCCCAGUAGUC